UCCGGUUUGGCACCGGCAGUCUCCCAUGAGUCCCCGGCAUGAUCCGCUGGCAACAUGGGACAGGGGUUGCGCUCGUUGCGGGUCUUAACCCAACAUCUCACGACACGAGCUGACGACAGCCAUGCACCACCUGUGAAAGUGUCCCGAAGGAAAACCGUGUUUCCACGGCUGUCACUUACAUGUCAAGCCCAGGUAAGGUUCUUCGCGUUGCAUCGAAUUAAACCACAUGCUCCACCGCUUGUGCGGGCCCCCGUCAAUUCCUUUGAGUUUCAGCCUUGCGGCCGUACUCCCCAGGCGGGGCACUUACUGCGUUAGCGACGGCACCGGGAGGGUCGCUCCCCCCGACAUCCAGCAUUCAUCGUUUACAGCGUGGACUAC
rnacentral:misc_RNA from 1 species